rnacentral:rRNA from 1 species
AUAUCAAUAAGCGGAGGAAAAGAAACUAACAAGGAUUCCCCUAGUAACUGCGAGUGAAGAGGGAAAAGCUCAAAUUUAAAAUCUGGCAGUCUUCGGGCUGUCCGAGUUGUAAUUUAGAGAAGUGUUACCCGCGCUGGACCGUGUACAAGUCUCCUGGAAUGGAGCGUCAUAGAGGGUGAGAAUCCCGUCUUUGACACGGACUACCAGGGCAUUGUGGUGCGCUCUCGAAGAGUCGCGUUGUUUGGGAAUGCAGCGCAAAAUGGGUGGUAAAUUCCAUCUAAAGCUAAAUAUUGGCGAGAGACCGAUAGCGAACAAGUACCGUGAGGGAAAGAUGAAAAGAACUUUGGAAAGAGAGUUAAACAGUACGUGAAAUUGCUGAAAGGGAAACGCUUGAAGUCAGUCGCGUUGUCCAGGGAUCAGCCUUGCUUCUGUGAGGUGUACUUCCUGGUCGACGGGUCAGCAUCAGUUUCGAUUACUGGAGAAAGGCUUGGGGAAUGUGGCAACCUCGGUUGUGUUAUAGCCCCUUGUCGUAUACAGUGGUUGGGACUGAGGAACUCAGCACGCCGCAAGGCAGGGCUUCGGCCACUUUCGUGCUUAGGAUGCUGGCAUAAUGGCUUUAAGCGACCCGUCUUGAAACACGGACCAAGGAGUCUAACAUGCUUGCGAGUGUUUGGGUGGUAAACCCGCGCGCGUAAUGAAAGUGAAAGUUGGGAUCUCUGUCGUGGAGAGCACUGACGCCCGGCCCUGAAGUUUACUGACGGAGCUGCGGUAGAGCACGUMUGUUGGGACCCGAAAGAUGGUGAACUAUGCCUGAAUAGGG